ACCAGUGUGGUGUAGCGGUUUGAGCAUCGGACUAUGACUCUGGGUACCAGGGUUCAAAUCCUUGCUCAGCUA